AACUUUUGACAAUGGAUCACUUGGUUCUCGCAUCGAUGAAGAACGCAGCGAAAUGCGAUAAGUAAUGUNAANUGCAGAAUUCAGUGAAUCAUNGAANCUUUGAACGCACAUUGCGCCCUUUGGUAUUCCGAAGGGCAUGCCUUUUCGAGCGUCAUUUCAACCGUCAAGCCUCUGCUUGGGAUUGGGCCCUCGUCCGUGCUCGCCACGGACGGGCCUUAAAGUCAUUGGCGGCUUUCGCUAUGCGGCUUCGAGCGUUGUAAUACACCUCGCGCUCUGGAGCCUCGCUUGGCCCGCCCAAAAAUCAUCUAUUAAAAGGUUGACCUCGGAUAAGGUAGGGAUACCCGCUGAACUUAAGCAUAUCAAUAAGCGGAGGCU
rnacentral:misc_RNA from 1 species